rnacentral:rRNA from 1 species
AGAGUUUGAUCCUGGCUCAGGAUUAACGCUGGCGGCAUGCCUAAUGCAUGCAAGUAGAACGGUCCCGCCGCAAGGCGGGAGAGUUGCGAACGGCUGAGUAAUGAAUAGGAAUCUCCCCGAUGGCGUGGAAUACCUCAUCGAAAGAUGAGCUAAUACCGCAUAACCUCGUAAGAGAAAGGCGCUUAACUGCGCACCGACGGAUGAGCCUAUUUCCCAUCAGGCAGUUGGUAGGGUAAUGGCCUACCAAACCUAUGACGGGUAGGGGGCGUGAGAGCGCGUUCCCCCAGAAUGGGACUGAGACACGGCCCAUAUACCUACGGGUGGCAGCAACAGGGAAUCGUACACAAUGGACGAAAGUCUGAUGUCGCAAUGCCGCGUGGAGGAUGAAGGCCUUCGGGUCGUAAACUCCUUUUACAGUAAUAGAGAUGUUAUUGAGAAUAAGCACCUGCUAACUCUGUGCCAGCAGCCGCGGUAAUACAGAGGGUGCAAGCGUUAUCCGGAUUUAUUGGGCGUAAAGCGUUUCGUAGGUGACCAGGUAAGUUAUCUUUUAAAGACCACGGCUCAACCGGGGGAAGGGAGGUAAUACUGCCUAGUUUGAUUUGUGGUGGGGCUUCUGGAACUGAUGGUGUAGUAGUGAAAUACGUUGAUAUCAUCAGGAACUCCGAGGGCGAAGGCAGGAAGCUAAUCAUUUAAUGACACUGAGGAACGACAGCUAGGGGAGCGAAAGGGAUUAGAGAUCUCUGUAGUCCUAGCCGUAAACUUUGCUCGCUAGGGGUGGGGCCUUUGGGCUUCGCCCCGUAAGCUAACGCGUUAAGCGAGCCGCCUGGGGAGUACGGUCGCAAGACUAAAACUCAAAGGAAUUGACGGGGACCCGCACAACCAGUGGAGCAUGUGGUUUAAUUCGAGACGAAACGAAGAACCUUACCCAGCCUUGACAUGUUACCGUUUUAAGCACCCAGAAAUGGGAGCCUAUCUUUAGCAAUAUUGAUGGUAUCACAGGUGUUGCAUGGCCGUCGUCAGCUCGUGCCGUAGGGUGUUCCCUUCAGUGGGGUAACGAGCGCAACCCUUACCACAAGUUGAAUAUUCUUGUGGGACUACCUAAAUUUAUUUUAGGUGGAAGUGAGGACGACGUCAGGUCAGCAUGGCCCUUAUAGCUGGGGCUACACACAUGCUACAAUGGAGCCGACAGAGGGUAGCCAAGUCGCAAGACGGAGCUAAUCCCAUCAAACGGCUUCUCAGUGGG